GAUCGAAGGAGUGGCGAACGGGUGAGUAAUACAUAAGCAACCUACCCACGAAGACUGGGAUAAUCUCUGGAAACGGGGACUAAUACCGGAUAGGUAAUCGGAAGGCAUCUUCUGAUUAUUAAAGGUUAAAAACACUGGUGGAUGGGCUUAUGGCGCAUUAGCUAGUUGGAGGGGUAACGGCCCACCAAGGCGAUGAUCAGUAGCCGGUCUGAGAGGAUGAACGGCCACAUUGGGACUGAGACACGGCCCAGACUCCUACGGGAGGCAGCAGUGGGGAAUUUUCGGCAAUGGGGGAAACCCUGACCGAGCAACGCCGCGUGAGUGAUGACGGCCUUCGGGUUGUAAAGCUCUGUUGUAAGGGAAGAACGGUAGAUAGAGAAUAUCUAAGUGACGGUACCUUACCAGAAAGCCACGGCUAACUACGUGCCAGCAGCCGCGGUAAUACGUAGGUGGCGAGCGUUGUCCGGAAUCAUUGGGCGUAAAGGGAGCGCAGGCGGGCAUGUAAGUCUUUCUUAAAAGUGCGGGGCUCAACCCCGUGAUGGGAAAGAAACUAUGUGUCUUGAGUACAGGAGAGGAAAGCGGAAUUCCCAGUGUAGCGGUGAAAUGCGUAGAUAUUGGGAGGAACACCAG
rnacentral:rRNA from 1 species